GGGCAUGUAGCUCAGUUGGUUAGAGCACCACACUGAUAAUGUGGGGGUCGGAGAUUCGAGUUCUCCCAUGCCCACCA
rnacentral:tRNA from 3 species